GCCAGACUCCUACGGGAGGCAGCAGUGGGGGAUAUUGCACAAUGGGGGGAACCCUGAUGCAGCGACGCCGCGUGGGUGAAGGAGCGCUUCGGCGCGUAAAGCCCUAUCGGCAGGGGAGAAGGAGGACGGUACCUGACUAAGAAGCCCCGGCUAACUACGUGCCAGCAGCCGCGGUAAUACGGAGGGGGCAAGCGUUAUUCGGAUUUACUGGGUGUAAAGGGGGCGCCGGCGGAAGCGCAAGCCAGGAGUGAAAGCCCGGGGCCCAACCCCGGAGCUGCUCUUGGAACGGCGCGGCUGGAGUGCAGGAGAGGCAGGGGGAAUUCCUGGUGUAGCGGUGAAAU
rnacentral:rRNA from 1 species